CCUACGGGGUGCAGCAGUGGGGAAUAUUGCACAAUGGGGGGAACCUUGAUGCAGCAACGCCGCGUGGGUGAAGAAGUACUCCGGUAUGUAAAGCCCUGUCAGCAGGGAAGAAAAUGACGGUACCUGACCAAGAAGCCCCGGCUAACUACGUGCCAGCAGCCGCGGUAAUACGUAGGGGGCAAGCGUUAUCCGGAUUUACUGGGUGUAAAGGGAGCGUAGACGGCAAGGCAAGUCUGGAGUGAAAGCCCGUGGCCCAACCACGGGACUGCUUUGGAAACUGUGUUGCUGGAGUGCAGGAGGGGUAAGCGGAAUUCCUAGUGUAGCGGUGGAAUGCGUAGAUAUUAGGAGGAACACCAGAGGCGAAGGCGAUUAACUGGACCGUAACUGACGCUGAGGCACGAAAGUGUGGGUAGCAAACAGGAUUAGAUACCCCAGUAGUC
rnacentral:rRNA from 1 species